UAGCACACAGGCAUUAGUGCCAACAAGUAAUCAUAUGUUUUAUUACAGAAUUAGAAAACAAUGAGGACAUUAAAAGCCACAUUUUAGCAAUUCAACAUAAGAUAGAUUAGCUUAACUUGAUGCUUUUCACUUACUACCCCAAUUGAAUUUUAAGUUAUUGAGGCUCGACUAGUCCAAGCAUGUAGCCAUAAACAAAUUUUGUAACACAUGCAGUAUGGUCAGAAUUAUGGAACCAAAUCACCAAUAAAUUCAUGAUAUAGCGAAUUGAACUAAAUCCAUAAGCCAUACAAAACCACUGCCCCAUAUGGAUUUUUUUUUUGAAUGACUAGAGUAUAACAAGUACAUAGCCUCCAGAAUAAAGAAAAAAUAAAGUAAACUCAAAAGAAAGAACUCCUAAGCCGCCCAUGACUAGAGUGAGAGCCACCAAACCCCAAAAUAAUCGACGACCAAGAAGAGAGAAACAGAAGAAACCAAGAAGAGAAGAACGGAAAGAAAAACUUACACUCCUCCAAAAUCACCAAAAUCCAGAAGCAUGCACCACCACACACAAGACUCUAAGUGUUCCAACACGAGACUCAUAAAGAGAGCACUGCCCCAUAAGGACUAUAAAAUAGGAUUACAACAAAUGGUAGGAAUCUUUGUAGACAAUUUACCAUGAAAAUGUAGACAUCCUCAGCUAAUCCUCUAAAAUGGCGCCAUAUCUAAAUUACUAAAUCUCUACGGCUGAUAGAAAAACUAUUAUCACCUUGUGUGCUCCACACGUUCCCCGAUGAAAAUUAGUUAUCACUAACGGCAGUAGAAACUUUGUACCAAUAUUAUGGUAAACAAAAAAAAACAUAAAACUGUUGUUUAUCUUCUAAUUACCUCUAAUAACUAUACAACUCAUAUAUAUAUAUAUAUAUAUAUAUGCAUUGAGUUUACUAAAAAGUAAGAACUAAUUAAAACGAAAAAAUUAAGGAAUAUCUAAAUAGCAUCAUCUCUAUAAAGCUGGUAAUAAGACUGUUAUUUAUCUACUAAUUACUUUUAAUAAAACAUCUACGCUGAUAGCUAUACUAAUAAAAUUAGAGUUAUUGGGCUUCGAAGUAAAAUAGUUAUUUUAUUCAACUUAUAUAAUAUAUUUCAAUUUCAUUAAUCAUAGGUCUAAAUUGGAGGCCUUGUGAAACAUCCAUAAUUAAGAUAGAAAAAAUAUACAAUCUAAUAGUAUUUAGUGUCUUAUUUUAUUUAAUUACCAACAUUUUAGAGU
rnacentral:lncRNA from 1 species